GCCUGAUUGAUUUCCCCUCGGGACUUAAAAUCCCCCGCUCGUAAGGGCGUGCCGGUUCGAUUCCGGCUUCGGGCACCA
rnacentral:tRNA from 2 species